rnacentral:rRNA from 1 species
UAAUACAGAGGGUGCGAGCGUUAAUCGGAGUUACUGGGCGUAAAGGGCGCGUAGGCGGAUAUAAGAGUGUGAUGUGAAAGCCCCGGGCUUAACCUGGGAAGUGCAUCGCAAACGUUGUAUCUGGAGUAGAUGAGAGGGUGGCGGAAUUUCCGGUGUAGCGGUGAAAUGCGUAGAGAUCGGAAGGAACGUCGAUGGCGAAGGCAGCCACCUGGCAUCAUACUGACGCUGAGGCGCGAAAGCGUGGGUAGCGAACAGGAUUAGAUACCCUGGUAGUCCACGCUGUAAACGAUGAGAACUAGAUGUUGGUUGGGGAACCAAUCGGUAUCGAAGCUAACGCGAUAAGUUCUCCGCCUGGGAAGUACGGCCGCAAGGUUG